AGCGAACGCUGGCGGCAGGCCUAACACAUGCAAGUCGAACGAACUCUUCGGAGUUAGUGGCGGACGGGUGAGUAACACGUGGGAACGUGCCUUUUGGUUCGGAAUAACUCAGGGAAACUUGUGCUAAUACCGAAUGUGCCCUUCGGGGGAAAGAUUUAUCGCCAUUAGAGCGGCCCGCGUCUGAUUAGCUAGUUGGUGAGGUAACGGCUCACCAAGGCGACGAUCAGUAGCUGGUCUGAGAGGAUGACCAGCCACACUGGGACUGAGACACGGCCCAGACUCCUACAGGAGGCAGCAGUGGGGAAUCUUGCGCAAUGGGCGAAAGCCUGACGCAGCCAUGCCGCGUGAAUGAUGAAGGUCUUAGGAUUGUAAAAUUCUUUCACCGGGGACGAUAAUGACGGUACCCGGAGAAGAAGCCCCGGCUAACUUCGUG
rnacentral:rRNA from 1 species